rnacentral:rRNA from 1 species
UACGUAGGGGGGCAAGCGUUGUCCGGAUUCAUUGGGCGUAAAGAGCGCGCAGGCGGUCGUUCAAGUCGAGUGUGAAAGCCCCCCGGCUCAACUGGGGAGGGUCACUCGAUACUGAUCGACUCGAAGGCAGGAGAGGGUAGUGGAAUUCCCGGUGUAGUGGUGAAAUGCGUAGAUAUCGGGAGGAACACCAGUGGCGAAGGCGACUACCUGGCCUGUUUCUUGACGCUGAGGCGCGAAAGCUAGGGGAGCAAACGGG